rnacentral:rRNA from 1 species
UACGUAGGGUGCGAGCGUUGUCCGGAAUCAUUGGGCGUAAAGGGCUCGUAGGCGGUCCAUCGCGUCGGGAGUGAAACGCUGGGGCUUAACCCCAGUCCUGCUUUCGAUACGGGUGGACUAGAGGUAGGCAGGGGAGAAUGGAAUUCCUGGUGUAGCGGUGAAAUGCGCAGAUAUCAGGAGGAACACCGGUGGCGAAGGCGGUUCUCUGGGCCUAAUCUGACGCUGAGGAAGCGAAAGGCGUGGGGAGCAAACAGG